GACGAACGCUGGCGGCGUGCUUAACACAUGCAAGUCGAACGGGCUGCCUGGUUUUCGGCUCGGGUGGUGAGUGGCGAACGGGUGAGUAACACGUGAGUAACCUGCCCCUCUCUUUGGGAUAACGUCGGGAAAUCGGCGCUAAUACCGGGUAUUCUGGCUUCCUCGCAUGGGGUUGUUGGGAAAGGUUUUUUCUGGUGGGGGAUGGGCUCGCGGCCUAUCAGCUUGUUGGUGGGGUGAUGGCCUACCAAGGCGGUGACGGGUAGCCGGCCUGAGAGGGUGUCCGGCCACACUGGGACUGAGACACGGCCCAGACUCCUACGGGAGGCAGCAGUGGGGAAUAUUGCACAAUGGGCGGAAGCCUGAUGCAGCGACGCCGCGUGGGGGAUGACGGCCUUCGGGUUGUAAACCUCUUUCAGUGCAGAACAAGGCUCUUUGUGGGUUGAGGGUAUGCGCAGAAGAAGCGCCGGCUAACUACGUG
rnacentral:rRNA from 1 species